rnacentral:rRNA from 2 species
GMGGCCUAACACAUGCAAGUCGAGCGGUAGCACAGAGAGCUUGCUCUCGGGUGACGAGCGGCGGACGGGUGAGUAAUGUCUGGGAAACUGCCUGAUGGAGGGGGAUAACUACUGGAAACGGUAGCUAAUACCGCAUAACGUCGCAAGACCAAAGUGGGGGACCUUCGGGCCUCAUGCCAUCAGAUGUGCCCAGAUGGGAUUAGCUAGUAGGUGGGGUAACGGCUCACCUAGGCGACGAUCCCUAGCUGGUCUGAGAGGAUGACCAGCCACACUGGAACUGAGACACGGUCCAGACUCCUACGGGAGGCAGCAGUGGGGAAUAUUGCACAAUGGGCGCAAGCCUGAUGCAGCCAUGCCGCGUGUGUGAAGAAGGCCUUCGGGUUGUAAAGCACUUUCAGCGGGGAGGAAGGCGAUAAGGUUAAUAACCUUGUCGAUUGACGUUACCCGCAGAAGAAGCACCGGCUAACUCCGUGCCAGCAGCCGCGGUAAUACGGAGGGUGCAAGCGUUAAUCGGAAUUACUGGGCGUAAAGCGCACGCAGGCGGUCUGUCAAGUCGGAUGUGAAAUCCCCGGGCUCAACCUGGGAACUGCAUUCGAAACUGGCAGGCUAGAGUCUUGUAGAGGGGGGUAGAAUUCCAGGUGUAGCGGUGAAAUGCGUAGAGAUCUGGAGGAAUACCGGUGGCGAAGGCGGCCCCCUGGACAAAGACUGACGCUCAGGUGCGAAAGCGUGGGGAGCAAACAGGAUUAGAUACCCUGGUAGUCCACGCCGUAAACGAUGUCGAUUUGGAGGUUGUGCCCUUGAGGCGUGGCUUCCGGAGCUAACGCGUUAAAUCGACCGCCUGGGGAGUACGGCCGCAAGGUUAAAACUCAAAUGAAUUGACGGGGGCCCGCACAAGCGGUGGAGCAUGUGGGUUAAUUCGAUGCAACGCGAAGAACCCUUACCUGGUCUUGACAUCCACAGAACUUUCCAGA